UACGUAGGGGGCAAGCGUUGUCCGGAUUUAUUGGGCGUAAAGAGCGUGUAGGCGGCCAGACAGGUCCGUUGUGAAAACUCGAGGCUCAACCUCGAGACGUCGACGGAAACCGUCUGGCUAGAGUCCGGAAGAGGAGUGUGGAAUUCCUGGUGUAGCGGUGAAAUGCGCAGAUAUCAAGAGGAACACCUGAGGUGAAGACGGGUUGCUGGGCCGACACUGACGCUAAGUGCGCGAAAGCCAGGGGAGCAAACGGG
rnacentral:rRNA from 1 species